AAAGGAGGUUUCUUCUUUCUUGUUUUAUAACUAGCUACUAUGACUGUCCCUAUCUCUUCUUCCUCUCCCAUUCUUCCUUGGCUAAAAUCUGAAUGCUGGGGACAGGGCUAGCCUGCAGUGAGUAUUAGAAUAGCCUGUUUAGGAUACCUAGUUCUCCUUUCCCUGGGUUCUGGUAUCUAGCUGAGGCUGCCUCCUAGAAACAAAUUGCCCCCAAGAGAUGGAUAAUGAUAGUUAUUUAAAUGAUAUAGUGCAUAAAUUACCAGAAGAAAAGGCAGGACUUCUACCACCCAGUCUUGACUUUGCUAUUAAGUGGCAAUGUUUUCCCAUCUAUAAAAUAAGGGUGGGGGGAUGAAUUCCAGCUCUCUAAUGAUCUUCCUCUUCUGCCACUUUAUUUUAAGGUUUCUUCUUGCUUUAAGAGUCUGUCAAACAUCCUUGGAGCCAAGGGGCUCCCGCUCUUCUAGACCCUUCAAGUCCCCUCUAAUUGCCCUUCUGCUACUAGGACCACCUGACUAAUCCAGACCCAUGAUUCUGCGUUCUGGGAAAGUAACACUCAUGUCACCCCAACCAUUGGGAGACUCUGAUGUCCUGGGGGAAGAUAGAUGGCCCUAUGUCAGUCCAUGCUGUCAACUCCAAAAGACAACGGAAGCUUCAAGGCUGCUAGAGAGAAGCUGGACAUAUGAGGACAAUACACAAGCGGCCAGAAAUAAGGUCCAGCUCUCCAGACCGGGGCAGUGCCAGGCAUUGAGUUUGGCCCAGGAGUCAUUAAGCAGGAAAAAGUGGGCAAAAGCAUUUGAAGAAGAGCCCCAAGUCUCUUGCAGUCGGCCUACAACCCCAACCUCCUAUUUCUCUGCUCUACCUUUGGAUGAGACCUUCUCCUACCCACUGUGAGUACGCUACACACCACCUCAGACCUGAGCUGGGCAUGGAAUGGAAGAAGGGAUUGCUUAUGUCCCCUAGACCAGAACAAAUGGAAGGAAUGUAACCUAGGAUGUCUUUUCAUUUAACUUUUAUUCAUGUGGUUUUUUACUUUAUUGAUACAUUUUGUUGUGACAACAGAUUUCUCUACAAAUGGCCUUACAAAGGACUUUCCCCGAGUGAUAGUUUCUCAGUUAACAGAAAAGAGCUGUAUUCUUUCACUGUGAGCAUGAUGCUAACACUGACCAUUGGAACUGACAAGGGUUUUGUUUUCUGCUUUUUUCUCUUUGCGGAAACAUCACUUACUUUUCUGAAUUUAUUGUGUGAGUGUAUUGUUCUUUCAGCCCUACUUUUCCAUCCCAUGCUUCUAUUCUUAGGAUAGAGACAAAGAUUGGGCCUGUGAUGUAGGGAGCUCCCGGGUGAGGUAACUCCUUCCACCAAUAUCAGUCGUCACCGUCUCUGCAACUUAUGAUCUUAGAGAAUUGCCUACAGCCCUAAGAGAUUAGAAUUAGGGUUAGUUACUUAUCCAGGGUCACAUAGCCAGUGUGAUUCAGCACUAAGAUUUGAAUUCAGGUCUUCCUAGAUCCAAGGCCCAUUCUCUAUCCACUACAUAACCUCUCUAGUCAUUCCUUUCUACACAUUCAUAGC
ensembl:lncRNA